AAAAAAAGGUUUCUAAUUUUCAGUUAAAAAAUAACUGCUGGCAUUAUUUUGUCAGCUGAGGGCGUUUUUAUUGCCAUAACAACGUGAGCUAAUCAACAAGUACAACACGUUCUAGACCAGUGGUUCUCAAUCAUUUUCUUUCAUUCCCCCCCUAGGAGACAGACAUUUUAUCACGCCCUCCCUGAAUUGAAAUAGCCUACUAUUGAGAACCUGCUAAUAUUUAUUUAUUUAGAUUAAUAAAAUUAACGGAGAUAACAUCUGCAACAACUUAAAACUAUUUCCAACUUCAGUUUAUUAACUCCAUUUGUAACAUUUAAACAAGACUGCUAAGUCUGUGUGAAUCUCAAAACAGAGAAACACGAGCAAAUGAUUCACUGGGGUUUGCAUUUAAUUAUAAUAUUUUUAAAAAGUAACUUGUCAGCUUCAUCAGCUUAUUCCAAUAUAUGGUCAUCUUUCAAGCAUGAAUAAAGACACCAAGUCCCUCUGUCAUGACUUUGUAAGAUCAAAAUUCUUGUAAAACUUCUGACCCUUGGUCUUAUGUUUAUUUAAAAUAAAAUAAGUAACCUAUUAAAAUAAAUAAAUAAAUAAAUACAUAAGACACUAAGUCCCCUCUGCCGCUCAUGCCCCCCCUGACACUUUUAAUCAGCUGAGGGCGUUUGCCUGAGUCUCAUAGUAUUAGAACAUGUUGUACUUGUUGAUUAGCUCACGUUGUUAUGGCAAUGAAUACGCCCUCAGCUGAUAAACUAAUGCCAGCAUUUUUUUUCAACAGAAAAUUAGCACCCAUAUCAACAUAUAUUUGAUAUUUUUCUGCUCCUUGCACCUAAUCAUGCUUAUCAUGCUACGCAGCAUUACAAGGCUCUGCUGACUAAAACAUGAAGCAAUUCAAGAAGAGGCAUAUAUAGAAUCGUCUUGUGGUCAACUGUCAUUUAAUAGACAUCUGACAGAUUAUGUCAAGGUUUUAAAAUUAUAGUAUUAUUAUUACCAGGUCAUGUUAUAACACAGCUGGAAAUCGUGGAUCUUCUGAUAAAGACUAGCUAGCCUCUUUGACAGACAAAACAGCAGAAACUAUGUUAGGUGCGCUCGUGCUGCAUUUUUAGUUUUGUCAAACAGGAGACACCCACCCACCAAUCCGAGGUUAGAGAUUCCUGAAGGAAGGUUGCGCUCGAUUUCACUAGCCCAUUUGAGCCUGUUCAUUAGUACAGCAUCCAUCCUCUCAUUGCUUGUGUAAAAAAACCCGGUAGAAUAUUAGAUUUGAGGACGAAACGAUAGGGUGGGCUAAGGCAGGUUUUUUUUCAAAAAGUCAAUAAUGGCGAAGCUAUUGAAAUUUUACCAUUGUGGUCGUUUUCAGUUUUGCACUUUGCAGACGGUCCCUAAACUCGCGGAUGAAAGCCGACUGCUCGUAGAAGACAAUGCAAUUCAGGUUUGCACUUUGCAGACGGUCCCUAAACUCGCGGCUGAAAGCCGACUGCUCGUAGAAGCCAAUGCAGUUCACCGUUCGCUAAAGACGGCUCGUUUGGAUGAAAACAAUAUUGUAGCUGGUUCUCUGGGUUACUACACUCAAUUGUGUCGCAACGAUGUUUCACUGAUGAUCUAUUGAACCGCAAACUCCGAAUCUGCGGAAGUUCCUUCGUUAAUAUGAAGCUCUCCUC